UCACUCCUGCAGCUUAAGGGAUGUGUUUUGGUCUUCUGAACAACCUACCUGAGCUAGCUCAUCAAAAUUCCACCCACCAGCUGCUAGGGGAAAAAAUAGCACGCAAAUGGCUGUUUGUGGCAUCAGGUUCAUCAGAAUGUCGCUAGAACUCUGAGCAUCAUAGGGGAGCGGUGGAAGGAGGCUUCGUCCUUAAAAGAGAAGUCUUUCUUUUCUUAUCAGAGCACACAGGAGCUCAUGGUCUCACGUGAGGCAUCUGUGAUCAUUCUUUCAUCUUUUAGAGUUGGCCUUUAAAAAUAUCUGUCUAUGCCUAGACGGGACGGACACCCAUUGACAUUUAAACGUCAGAAAACGACGCAAUAUGAGGAAAUAAUUACUGAUACAUUAGUGGCUCUGCUCAAUGGCUAACGAAGCAGCUUCUAUCACAGCCUGCUAGGGAGCUGCCCAUCACUGUUUCUGAAGGCUCGAAACACUUUCACAAUAAGUUGCUUCAGUAAUUACCCCACCGGACAUUAAGCCAUCCAUCCUUGGUGCUAAAGACCUCGCACGAGAGACCGCUCAGCGCAAUCUUUAUGGCUGUUAAGGAUGAACUGAGCUAAUGUAUCUGAAGCAAGUAUAAAAGUGAAAAUGGAUGUAUCUGCACAAUCCACAAUCUCUUUUGAUAAAAAAAAAAAGAGAGAGGAAAUUCAAAUCCCUUAUAUAAAGCAAUUUCAAGCCUACAGAACGAACAGAAAUAAACACAUGCGAUUCCUGAAGGAGAGAUAAGAAAGAUGUUUAUUUCCAGGGCACAGUCCUGUCCUAAUGGAGCCUUUAUGAAGAUCAAUGUUGGAAUUUAAUCUUGGUUUGUCUUACCUUCCAUAAGUGAAAUAAAAUUGGAUUGUCAUUGGAGGCUUA